rnacentral:miRNA from 1 species
GGAGAAUCGCUUGAACCUGGGAGGUGGAGGUUGCAGUGAGCUGAGAUCACGCCACUGCACUCCAGCCUGGGCGACAGAGUGAGACUCUGUCUC